GACAGAGGUGCCAAGCGUUAGGCGGAAUCACUGGGCUUAAAGCGUGUGUAGGCGGACUUCUAAGUACCUUGUGAAAUCCCACGGCUCAACCGUGGAACUGCUUGGUAUACUGGUUGUCUUGAGCCACUUAGGGGCAGUCGGAACAGACGGUGGAGCGGUGAAAUGCGUAGAUAUCGUCUGGAACGCCAAAGGUGAAAACAGACUGCUGGGACGUUACUGACGCUGAGACGCGAAAGCGUGGGGAGCAAACAGG
rnacentral:rRNA from 1 species